rnacentral:lncRNA from 1 species
GCAGAUUGAAAUUGAUUUUCCAGAGAAAUGGCCUUGGAAGAUUCGAAGCCGGUGAAGAAAGAGGAGGAGUCCAACAAGAGUUCCGUUAACAAAAAGGUCGCAAAAGUCAAGAAAGAAGAGGUUGAAUCCGUGAAGAAGGAGCCUAAAGCUGUAACAGUCAAGAAGGAACCUAAAGCUGUAACCGUCAAGAAGGAGCUUAAAGUCAAGAAGGAAAUCGACGACGACAU